UUUAGCAUCUCCAUGUCUUCCCAAUCCCCUCUUUGUACAUUUGUCUCAUUGUUGAAUAUCUUUUUGCUAGCGCUUCAAGGCAUGCUUUCCUUUUUUUAUUUUCCCUUGCUCUUUUUCUAUUGUGGUAUUUUGUCAAAUUUCAUUUUUCAUAAAUUAGUAAUGUUCAUCUAUUUAUAAUUAAACUAUCAAAGUUUUAAUUGCAAUUUCAACUUUCAAGGGGGAAAAAGGCUCAAAUCAUAAGUAAUUUAAUGCCUGUGUACACAUUAAAUGCUUUUUAUGUGGUGUUAGUAAAAAUACAUUAUCAUCUCUUUUAUCUAGCUAUUUGGUAGCUUUUUUAGUGCAGCAAAUUGGAAUAUAGUUUGAUUAUAUGUCAUGUGCGCUUCCCCCUUCCCCUUUCCCCCUCCCUCUCUUCCUUUUUCUUUUUUUGUGGCUAAUGUUGUAUUAAAUUGCUCAGAUAACUGUUUUGUGGAAAUUAGUCUCUUUGGGUUCUAAAAAAAAAGGAUUUAAAAGAGCAGAAAAUAGAAAAAGAGGAUAGAGUAUGCAAUAGUCAAUCAUGCUAAGGUGUUAUGUCAUCACGAAAAAACAUAAGGUUACAUGCUAUUUUCUUUUUAUAAAGUAUAUGAUAUAAUAUGGAG
rnacentral:misc_RNA from 1 species